GUCUCGGUGGUGUAGUGGUAGAUCACGCGUCCUCUGAUAGGAUGAAACGCGGAUUCGAUUCCCACCUGAGGCC